GUGGGGAAUCUUAGACAAUGGGGGAAACCCUGAUCUAGCCAUGCCGCGUGAGCGAUGAAGGCCUUAGGGUUGUAAAGCUCUUUCAGCUGGGAAGAUAAUGACUGUACCAGCAGAAGAAGCCCCGGCUAACUCCGUGCCAGCAGCCGCGGUAAUACGGAGGGGGCUAGCGUUUUUCGGAAUGACUGGGCGUAAAGCGCACGUAGGCGGACCGGAAAGUCAGAGGUGAAAUCCCAGGGCUCAACCUUGGAACUGCCUUUGAAACUUCUGGUAUUGAGGUCGAGAGAGGUGAGUGGCAUUCCGAGUGUAGAGGUGAAAUUCGUAGAUAUUCGGAGGAACACCAGUGGCGAAUGCGACUCACUGGCCCAAUACUGACGCUGAGGCGCGAAAGCGUGGGGAGCAAACAGGAUUAGAUACCCCUGUAGUCC
rnacentral:rRNA from 1 species